UACGAAGGGGGCUAGCGUUGUUCGGAAUUACUGGGCGUAAAGGGCGCGUAGGCGGUACUUCAAGUCAGGCGUGAAAGCCCCGGGCUCAACCUGGGAACCGCGCUUGAGACUGGGAGGCUUGAAUCCGGGAGAGGAAUGCGGAAUUCCAGGUGUAGCGGUGAAAUGCGUAGAUAUCUGGAGGAACACCUGUGGCGAAGGCGGCAUUCUGGACCGGCAUUGACGCUGAGGCGCGAAAGCCAGGGGAGCAAACGGG
rnacentral:rRNA from 1 species